CCGGGGUCCCCCUGGGCGGGCUCCCUCAGGUAGUCCUCGAAGCACACCUGCCGGGCUUCGCCGCCACCCCCGAACCCCCAGAGGCGGUUGGCCGUGCCCCGCAGAAGGCGCCCGCUCUUCCCCGUGAUCGUGAUCAGAUGCCUCUGCCCCUGCCUUAGCAACCAAGGAUACACACUACCUGCAUCAGAUGGGACAGUUAUGAGAUGUCGGUACCACCUCCAACAGCCUGGAUCCCUGAGAAGCUGUGUGGAUCAGAGCUCCCCCACCCCCAACCAGAAUUGGGACGAGAAGAACAGACGCCAAUGGCUAUGGCAGUUGCAAAAACAACACCAAAAACCAGCUUCAUGCUCAGAAGAAAACACUGUGUCUUCUCCUCGUGGUUUCAGGUGCUCUACACAUUCCGAGAAACUUCUCUAGUCAAGAACUAUAGAAAUGAUCCCUGAAAGUACAGUCGUUGCACAUUUGUUUAAUAAUCCUGACCUAUAAUAUGGCUAUUUGGAUUCUCCUUUGAACUGGGGUAACAUCUUACUGGAUCCCUCAUUAAUGAGUUAAAUAAAAUAUUUAAUG